rnacentral:rRNA from 1 species
GAUGAACGCUGGCGGCGUGCCUAAUACAUGCAAGUCGAGCGAACGGACCAGGAGCUUGGUUCUCUGUAGUUAGGGGCGGACGGGUGAGGAACACGUGGACAACCCUUCUAUAAGACUGGGAUAACUUCGGGAAAACGGAGCUAAUAACGGAAAAUCUUUUGAACCGGAUGGGUGAAAAAUGAAAGACGGUCCUUGUGUCAAUUAUAGAUGGAUCCGCGCUGCAUUAGCUAGUUGGUAAGGUAACGGCUUACCAAGGCAACGAUGCAUAGCCGACCUGAGAGGGUGAUCGGCCACACUGGAACUGAGACACGGUCCAGACUCCUACGGGAGGCAGCAGUAGGGAAUCUUCCGCAAUGGGCGAAAGCCUGACGGAGCAACGCCGCGUGAGUGAUGAAGGUCUUCGGAUCGUAAAACUCUGUUAUUAGGGAAGAACAUAUGUGUAAGUAACUGUGCACAUCUUGACGGUACCUAAUCAGAAAGCCACGGCUAACUACGUG